rnacentral:rRNA from 1 species
AUUGAACGCUGGCGGCAGGCCUAACACAUGCAAGUCGAACGAGUGGCGGACGGUUGAGUAAUGUCUGGGAAACUGCCCGAUGGAGGGGGAUAACUACUGGAAACGGUAGCUAAUACCGCAUACCAUCGGAUGUGCCCAGAUGGGAUUAGCUAGUAGGUGGGGUAACGGCUCACCUAGGCGACGCUCCCUAGUUGGUCUGAGAGGAUGACAAGCAACACUGGAACUGAGACACGGUCCAUACUCCGACGGGGGGCAGCAGUGGGUAAUAUUGCACAAUGGGCGCAAGCCUGAUGCAGCCAUGCCGCGUGUAUGAAGAAGGCCUUCGGGUUGUAAAGUACUUUCAGCGAGGAGGCGUGACUCGCAGAAGAAGCACCGGCUAACUCCGUGCCAGCAGCCGCGGUAAUUC